rnacentral:rRNA from 1 species
AUUGAACGCUGGCGGCAGGCCUAACACAUGCAAGUCGAGCGGGUGACGGGAGCUUGCUCCUUGAUUCAGCGGCGGACGGGUGAGUAAUGCCUAGGAAUCUGCCUGGUAGUGGGGGACAACGUUUCGAAAGGAACGCUAAUACCGCAUACGUCCUACGGGAGAAAGCAGGGGACCUUCGGGCCUUGCGCUAUCAGAUGAGCCUAGGUCGGAUUAGCUAGUUGGUGGGGUAAUGGCUCACCAAGGCGACGAUCCGCAACUGGUCUGAGAGGAUGAUCAGUCACACUGGAACUGAGACACGGUCCAGACUCCUACGGGAGGCAGCAGUGGGGAAUAUUGGACAAUGGGCGAAAGCCUGAUCCAGCCAUGCCGCGUGUGUGAAGAAGGUCUUCGGAUUGUAAAGCACUUUAAGUUGGGAGGAAGGGCAGUAAGUUAAUACCUUGCUGUUUUGACGUUACCGACAGAAUAAGCACCGGCUAACUCUGUGCCAGCCGCCACUGUAA